rnacentral:rRNA from 1 species
AGUGAACGCUGGCGGUAGGCCUAACACAUGCAAGUCGAACGGCAGCACAGUAAGAGCUUGCUCUUACGGGUGGCGAGUGGCGGACGGGUGAGGAAUACAUCGGAAUCUACUUUUUCGGGGGGGAUAACGUAGGGAAACUUACGCUAAUACCGCAUACGACCUACGGGUGAAAGCAGGGGAUCUUCGGACCUUGCGCGAUUGAAUGAGCCGAUGUCGGAUUAGCUAGUUGGCGGGGUAAAGGCCCACCAAGGCGACGAUCCGUAGCUGGUCUGAGAGGAUGAUCGGCCACACUGGAGCUGAGACACGGUCCAGACUCCUACGGGAGGCAGCAGUGGGGAAUAUUGGACAAUGGGCGCAAGCCUGAUCCAGCCAUACCGCGUGGGUGAAGAAGGCCUUCGGGUUGUAAAGCCCUUUUGUUGGGAAAGAAAAGCAGCAGGUUAAUACCCCGCUGUUCUGACGGUACCCAAAGAAUAAGCACCGGCUAACUUCGUG